rnacentral:tRNA from 1 species
ACUCCCUUAGUAUAACUAAUAUAACUGACUUCCAAUCAGUAGAUUCCGAUAUUGACGGAAGAGAGUA